rnacentral:rRNA from 1 species
CCUACGGGAGGCAGCAGUCGAGAAUCAUUCACAAUGGGGGAAACCCUGAUGGUGCGACGCCGCGUGGGGGAAUGAAGGUCUUCGGAUUGUAAACCCCUGUCAUGUGGGCGCAAAUUAAAAAGAUAGUACCACAAGAGGAAGAGACGGCUAACUCUGUGCCAGCAGCCGCGGUAAUACAGAGGUCUCAAGCGUUGUUAGGAAUCACUGGGCGUAAAGCGUGCGUAGGCUGUUUCGUAAGUCGUGUGUGAAAGGAGCGGGCUCACCCCGCGGACGGCACAUGAUACUGCGAGACUAGAGUAAUGGAGGGGGAACCGGAAUGCUGGGUGUAGCAGUGAAAUGCGUAGAUAUCGAGAGGAACACUCGUGGCGAAGGCGGGUUCCUGGACAGUAACUGACGCUGAGGCACGAAGGCCAGGGGAGCGAAAGGGAUUAGAUACCCUUGUAGUC